CCGGACUGGCCACCAGGUGUCACUGCUGCUCCCAUGGUCGGGAGGGGUGGGGGGAGGACACACUCUGUGCAUUACCCGGACUGGCCACCAGGUGUCACUGCUGCUCCGAGGCUGACGCUGCAGGAUGGUGUGAAUCGGAGCAGGGUCAGUUCCAAGGGUCAGAUUUCCAGACGUGUGCAGGGCACAGCAGCCCCCAUCAGGAACAAAGAGGAUUUCUCCGUCCCCCCCUGGGGAACAAGGGGAGCGGCUGGAUGCCGGGGGGGUUGGAGAAUCCUACCAGCCUGGACUCUCUCCCAGGUCCGAUCCCGACCUCAUCCCCC